UGUAUUAUAAUACAACUUGUUUAAUAAACAGAACAAUCCGCGACGAGCACGGCAGUUUCUGUUGAACCAGUAGGUUUGGAGGAAUCACCUGACAUCCAUGGCGAGGGGUUGGACACCAGCGACUUCCAAGCCGUUGUGGAGACAUUUUGGAGACUCCACCCAGCUAACCCCCAAUUUGACACUACAGCAGUACUUGACUCCAAACAUAAAGAAUGGAGAGCGAAAUGCAUGGCAGCCGUGGGCCUGGAAUCGGAGAAGACAUACUUUGGGGGUGCCUACAAGGAACACCUGGCAGUUUUGGUGAUGUCUCAGAGGUGUUAUGAUGCCGCGGUAAACAUCAUGACACAGUAUCAACAUAAUCAACUCCCGAAACAGACAGCAAAGGCCGUCAACAGGGCGUUGUUUAAAGAAAUACCUGGAACACGGGACGAGGAAGCCUUGUAACAGAAAUUGAUUGACUUCAGGGAUGGAAGGACCGGAAAAGAGAACUUUAACCGGACUUUAAAAAUAAUGAAAAAGGGAAAGGUAUGAAUUAGUUUUAAAUUACUGAAGUUUAGCUGAGGAAAUAUAUGCUCCACAUAUAUUAUGGAUUUGGGAUUACAA